rnacentral:rRNA from 1 species
AUAAUGACGGUACCUGCAGAAGAACCGCCGGCUAACUUCGUGCCAGCAGCCGCGGUAAUACGUGGGGGGCAAGCGUUGUUCGGAAUUACUGGGCGUAAAGGGUGCGUAGGCGGUUUUUAAAGUGUGGUGUGAAAUCUCUCGGCUCAACUGGUGAGGGUGCGCCUAAUACUGGGGGGCUUGAGUGUGGGAGAGGAGAGUGGAAUUCCGGGUGUAGCGGUGAAAUGCAUAGAUAUCAGGAGGAACACCUGUGGUGUAAGCGGCUUUCUGGACCAUUACUGACGCUGAGGCACGAAAGCGUGGGGAGCAAACAGGAUUAGAUACCCUGGUAGUCC